rnacentral:rRNA from 1 species
GUCUAUAGCCAUACCACCCUGAACGUGCCCGAUCUUGGAAGCUAAGCAGGGUUGGGCCUGGUUAGUACUUGGAUGGGAGACAAGCAGUCUACCACUGACU